UACGUAGGGGGCGAGCGUUGUCCGGAUUUAUUGGGCGUAAAGAGCUCGUAGGCGGUUUGGCAAGUCGGGUGUGAAAACUCCGGGCUCAACUCGGAGACGCCACUCGAUACUGCCAUGACUCGAGUCCGGUAGGGGAGUGCGGAAUUCCUGGUGUAGCGGUGAAAUGCGCAGAUAUCAGGAGGAACACCGGUGGCGAAGGCGGCACUCUGGGCCGGUACUGACGCUGAGGAGCGAAAGCGUGGGAGCGAACAGG
rnacentral:rRNA from 1 species